CUUGCACAUUGUUGGAGCUUGUUGCUGAGGCCCCUGGCUGGCCAAUGAACUCUCAAGGGUAGGCAGUGUGGCACACAAAGGGCAUGUUUUUCAGUAACACCACAAGGGUCUCUGGCCCAAGGAGUGGAGUUUGGUAGUAAUCCUUGCCACAAGU